rnacentral:rRNA from 1 species
GACGAACGCUGGCGGUGUGCUUAACACAUGCAAGUCGAACGGUAAGCCCCUUUCGGGGGUACACGAGUGGCGAACGGGUGAGUAACACGUGAGUAACCUGCCCUCAUCUCUGGGAUAACAGUCGGAAACGGUUGCUAAUACUGGAUAUGAGCUUGCAAGGCAUCUUGUGGGUUGGAAAGAUUUUUUUGGUUGGGGAUGGACUCGCGGCCUAUCAGCUUGUUGGUGAGGUAGUGGCUCACCAAGGCUUCGACGGGUAGCCGGCCUGAGAGGGCGACCGGCCACAUUGGGACUGAGAUACGGCCCAAACUCCUACGGGAGGCAGCAGUGGGGAAUAUUGCACAAUGGACGGAAGUCUGAUGCAGCAACGCCGCGUGCGGGAUGACGGCCUUCGGGUUGUAAACCGCUUUCAAUUGUGACGAAGCUUUUUGUGACGGUAGCAGUAGAAGAAGCACCGGCUAACUACGU